rnacentral:lncRNA from 1 species
UGGGACUGGUGGGGCCGUUGCUAUUGUUCCCCCGCAGAGUAUCUGCCAAACCAAAUGGGAGAAACUCAGAGAAAGCCAGGGCCUGGUAUCCAGGGGCUCCAGCUUGGUCAUUGCUCAAAAGCCUCCUUUUGAAUGUCCACUCUUAAGACUUUUCUAGGAGACUUGGGCAUCACAAGAUCAAAACAGAGACCUUCACACUCAAGUUUUUAAGACAGAGAAAAGUUCCUUGAGCAAAUGCAAGAAACAG